GACUUCGAGAUCUACAUUUUCGACAAAGGCCUGGUGUAAUAUUACGUACUUGAUGAAGGUUUAAUGACACGAAUGAGUACAAGUACAUUACAUUUUUCGACGAAGGCCUUCUGUAAUUUCAUACGCUUCUUACGCAACAUUCAAUAGAUUUAUUUACUGUAUUAUCAUUUCGACCAAGGCGAAUUCGACACUUCAAUUACACAAGCACAAUCAAACUUAGUCAUUCCAGUCAGUUACUGAAGCACAGCGAAAACUGUCUGAAUUAGUGCUGCUGAUGGCAUGUAAUUACUCUGCUACCACUACCAGUGACAGUCAAUGUCCAUAUAUUUUCAAGUGUGCGAAAUUAGUACUCGUCUACUUCUUAGUGUUAUUUGAAUGCAAUGUAUGUUAUAAAAAUAUUUUUUCAACACUAUAUCAACAUUCUCAUUCCUGUCAGUUUCUGAAAAUCAGCUAAAGCAAUCGCUACCAAUGCAGCUGAUAACAGCAAUUCUUUUUGUUCCCAAUGCCCAUCCAUGACAAUAUAUUUCACGCAUGUGACAAUCAUGUAAUCAUCCUGUUUUUUGUGUUCCAUUCAUGCAAUAAAUAAAUU